rnacentral:rRNA from 1 species
UGACUGACUGAGUGCCAGCAGCCGCGGUAAUACGUAGGCGGCAAGCGUUGUCCGGAAUUAUUGGGCGUAAAGGGAGCGCAGGCGGGAAGUUAAGCGGACUUUAAAAGUGCGGGGCUCAACCCCGUGAGGGGGUCCGAACUGACUUUCUUGAGUGCAGGAGAGGGAAGCGGAAUUCCUAGUGUAGCGGUGAAAUGCGUAGAUAUUAGGAAGAACACCAGUGGCGAAGGCGGCUUUCUGGACUGUAACUGACGCUGUGGCUCGAAAGCUAGGGUAGCGAACGGGAUUAGAUACCCCGGUAGUCCUAGCCGUAAACGAUGGAUACUAGGUGUGGGAGGUAUCGACCCCUUCCGUGCCGGAGUUAACGCAAUAAGUAUCCCGCCUGGGGAGUACGGCCGCAAGUUGAAACUCAAAGGAAUUGACGGGGGCCGCACAAGCGGU